AGCUUUGCGCAGUGGCAGUAUCGUAGCCAAUGAGGUUUAUCCGAGGCGCAAUUAUUGCUAAUUGAAAAAGAAGGCUGUGUAUCUUCUCAGUGUCAUACUUGAGUUCUGUCUUAACCGGCCUGCCCAAGGAUGAUUUAAUUCUCUAGGAAAAUUACCACUUUUGCUAUGCUAUUUACAAC
rnacentral:snRNA from 1 species